UACGUAGGGGGCGAGCGUUGUCCGGAUUUAUUGGGCGUAAAGAGCGUGUAGGCGGUUCGGUAAGUCUGUCGUGAAAUCCUGAGGCUCAACCUCGGGCGUGCGAUGGAUACUGCCGGGCUAGAGGAUGGUAGAGGCGAGUGGAAUUCCCGGUGUAGCGGUGAAAUGCGCAGAUAUCCGGAGGAACACCAGUGGCGAAGGCGACACGCUGGGCCGUACCUGACGCUAAAGCGCGACAGCAUGGGGAGCAAACGGG
rnacentral:rRNA from 1 species